AUCUGUAUGUGCGCGUGCGUGCAUGUGCAUGAGCACACAUUCUCACACACACACACACACACACACACACACACACACACACACACACACA
rnacentral:miRNA from 1 species